rnacentral:rRNA from 1 species
CGGAUUGUAGUCUGNAACCCGACUACAUGAAGCCGGAAUCGCUAGUAAUCGCGGAUCAGAAUGCCGCGGUGAAUACGUUCCCGGGUCUUGUACACACCGCCCGUCACACCAUGGGAGCCGGUAAUGCCCGAAGUCUGUGGCCCAACCGAAAGGAAGGAGCAGCCGAAGGCAGGCCCGGUGACUGGGGUGAAGUCGUAACAAGGUAAC